rnacentral:antisense_RNA from 1 species
GCGAGCAGGCGCGUGUGACGUCGGGAGGCGCCGCGGCUCCACGGCCGCCCUACUCUGUGGUCCCCGGUCUGGACCCAAACUGCUGACUGGCUGACCCGAGUGGUCACAUUUGCCCUCUGGGGCUUUUGAAAACCUUAAAUCAAAAUUGCUUUUGAAUCUGACAACUCCUGAGGCUACUUUCGCGGCCUCGGGGCUGUUUCAUAUAAGGACGCGAAUUUUCCCGAUCAGGUCGGUCGGCCACGUUACGAUUUCCAAUUUGCGAUCCAUCAGUUACUUCCAUUGGGUCUUCGGCCCCCAGGGACUGUGGAUCGUAGACCCCGCGGAGAAGCCCGUGGACUGGAGCUGUGUCAGCUCUGAUGAGAACCUGGAAGACUACUCUGCCAAAACAUCUCAAAAAGUGUGUGUCUGGAAUUGGUGGGUUCUUGGUCUCACUGACUUCAAGAAUGAAGCCGUGGACCCUUGCGGAACUGUGAAGACUAGAGUGACCUUGGAGAUCUCAUCUGGAAGAUGGUAGAACUGCCAUCAGCCUGGGUUCCCAAAUGACCUCGUGGAUCACAGCUACCCAUGGCCUGAAAUGUUGACCUUGGAGUUGUUACAUAGGAAAGAAAUAAACUUCUUUGUUC